rnacentral:tRNA from 1 species
UGGGAUGUAGCUCAGCGGUAGAGCACUAGCCUAUCAUACAUGAGGAUCUUGGUUCAACCCUUAGUAUCUCAA